GUGGGAGCCGUGGAGGGAACUUUCCCAGUCCCCGAGGCGGAUCCGGUGUUGCAUCCUUGGAGCGAGCUGAGAGCUCGAGAACCUGCUAAGGCCAUCAAACCUAUUGAUCGGAAGUCAGUCCAUCAGAUUUGCUCUGGGCCGGUGGUACCGAGUCUAAGCACUGCGGUGAAGGAGUUAGUAGAAAACAGUCUGGAUGCUGGUGCCACUAAUAUUGAUCUAAAGCUUAAGGACUAUGGAGUGGAUCUCAUUGAAGUUUCAGGCAAUGGAUGUGGGGUAGAAGAAGAAAACUUCGAAGGCUUAAAAACGUGCCUGCUUCCCCUUCGCCUUCUGCCGUGAUUGUCAGUUUCCUGAGGCCUCCCCAGCCAUGCUUCCUGUACAGCCUGCAGAACUGUGAGUCAAUUAAACCUGUUUUCUUCA
rnacentral:lncRNA from 1 species